AUACUAACCUUGCGUAGGGUGUACCGUGAUCACGAAGGCGGUUGCCCCGGGCCGGCGCCGGCCAUUGCACUGCGGCCGGAUGUCGCUAGCCUGUGACUAUCUCUCAUAGAGAUGUGUCGUACGUGUAAUUUUUGGUAGUUGGACUUGCGUACUGCGCAGUCCAC